rnacentral:rRNA from 1 species
UACGAAGGGGGCUAGCGUUGCUCGGAAUCACUGGGCGUAAAGGGUGCGUAGGCGGGUCUUUAAGUCAGGGGGUGAAAUCCUGGAGCUCAACUCCAGAACUGCCUUUGAUACUGAGGAUCUCGAGUUCGGGAGAGGUGAGUGGAACUGCGAGUGUAGAGGUGAAAUUCGUAGAUAUUCGCAAGAACACCAGUGGCGAAGGCGGCUUACUGGUCCGGUUCUGACGCUGAGGCGCGAAAGCGUGGGGAGCAAACAGG